GACGAACGCUGGCGGCGUGCCUAAUACAUGCAAGUCGUACGCUUCUUAUUCCACCGGAGCUUGCUCCACCGGAAAAAGAAGAGUGGCGAACGGGUGAGUAACACGUGGGUAACCUGCCCAUCAGAAGGGGAUAACACUUGGAAACAGGUGCUAAUACCGUAUAACAAUCGAAACCGCAUGGUUUUGAUUUGAAAGGCGCUUUCGGGUGUCGCUGAUGGAUGGACCCGCGGUGCAUUAGCUAGUUGGUGAGGUAACGGCUCACCAAGGCCACGAUGCAUAGCCGACCUGAGAGGGUGAUCGGCCACAUUGGGACUGAGACACGGCCCAAACUCCUACGGGAGGCAGCAGUAGGGAAUCUUCGGCAAUGGACGAAAGUCUGACCGAGCAACGCCGCGUGAGUGAAGAAGGUUUUCGGAUCGUAAAACUCUGUUGUUAGAGAAGAACAAGGAUGAGAGUAACUGUUCAUCCCUUGACGGUAUCUAACCAGAAAGCCACGGCUAACUACGUGCCAGCAGCCGCGGUAAUACGUAGGUGGCAAGCGUUGUCCGGAUUUAUUGGGCGUAAAGCGAGCGCAGGCGGUUUCUUAAGUCUGAUGUGAAAGCCCCCGGCUCAACCGGGGAGGGUCAUUGGAAACUGGGAGACUUGAGUGCAGAAGAGGAGAGUGGAAUUCCAUGUGUAGCGGUGAAAUGCGUAGAUAUAUGGAGGAACACCAGUGGCGAAGGCGGCUCUCUGGUCUGUAACUGACGCUGAGGCUCGAAAGCGUGGGGAGCAAACAGGAUUAGAUACCCUGGUAGUCCACGCCGUAAACGAUGAGUGCUAAGUGUUGGAGGGUUUCCGCCCUUCAGUGCUGCAGCUAACGCAUUAAGCACUCCGCCUGGGGAGUACGACCGCAAGGUUGAAACUCAAAGGAAUUGACGGGGGCCCGCACAAGCGGUGGAGCAUGUGGUUUAAUUCGAAGCAACGCGAAGA
rnacentral:rRNA from 1 species